UCGAGAGUUUGAUCCUGGCUCAGAACGAACGCUGGCGGCAGGCUUAACACAUGCAAGUCGAGCGCCCCGCAAGGGGAGCGGCAGACGGGUGAGUAACGCGUGGGAAUCUACCCAUCUCUACGGAAUAACGCAUGGAAACGUGUGCUAAUACCGUAUACGUCCUUUUGGAGAAAGAUUUAUCGGAGAUGGAUGAGCCCGCGUUGGAUUAGCUAGUUGGUGGGGUAAAGGCCUACCAAGGCGACGAUCCAUAGCUGGUCUGAGAGGAUGAUCAGCCACACUGGGACUGAGACACGGCCCAGACUCCUACGGGAGGCAACAGUGGGGAAUAUUGGACAAUGGGCGCAAGCCUGAUCCAGCCAUGCCGCGUGAGUGAUGAAGGCCCUAGGGUUGUAAAGCUCUUUCACCGGUGAAGAUAAUGACGGUAACCGGAGAAGAAGCCCCGGCUAACUUCGUGCCAGCAGCCGCGGUAAUACGAAGGGGGCUAGCGUUGUUCGGAUUUACUGGGCGUAAAGCGCACGUAGGCGGACUAUUAAGUCAGGGGUGAAAUCCGGGGCUCAACCCCGGAACUGCCUUUGAUACUGGUAGUCUUGAGUUCGAGAGAGGUGAGUGGAAUUCCGAGUGUAGAGGUGAAAUUCGUAGAUAUUCGGAGGAACACCAGUGGCGAAGCGGCUCACUGGCUCGAUACUGACGCUGAUGUGCGA
rnacentral:rRNA from 1 species